ACGUGUUUCAUUUUGUCACGUGUGUCGCGGAGAAAACCUUCGGCUCACACGAGCGAGUUGAGUAAUCUUUGAUAAUCUUCCGAACAAAAGGAGAAAUGCGCAGUCCUGAGAGCAAACUGAAAGGCGGGACAUAAAAAAGCAAAGAAAAGAAGAAAUGUCUUCCGAUUGGACUGUUAGGAUCGGGAUGUAAUCCACUUAUCGAGUCAAUGAGAUCUCGACACUCGAAUCACAAAGGAUCUGAUCAGCUGUGCUUUCAGAACGGACAAGAAUCAGAUAAUCCAAAACAAAGCACUGCUGAUAUGACUGAUUAUACAAGUGACAAAAUCCAACUCUAAUAGGGCAGACUGGAUUUGCUAAUCUA